rnacentral:rRNA from 1 species
UGGGGAAUAUUGCACAAUGGGCGCAAGCCUGAUGCAGCCAUGCCGCGUGUGUGAAGAAGGCCUUCGGGUUGUAAAGCACUUUCAGCGAGGAGGAAGGUGGUGGACUUAAUACGUUCAUCAAUUGACGUUACUCGCAGAAGAAGCACCGGCUAACUCCGUGCCAGCAGCCGCGGUAAUACGGAGGGUGCAAGCGUUAAUCGGAAUUACUGGGCGUAAAGCGCACGCAGGCGGUUUGUUAAGUCAGAUGUGAAAUCCCCGGGCUCAACCUGGGAACUGCAUUUGAAACUGGCAAGCUAGAGUCUCGUAGAGGGGGGUAGAAUUCCAGGUGUAGCGGUGAAAUGCGUAGAGAUCUGGAGGAAUACCGGUGGCGAAGGCGGCCCCCUGGACGAAGACUGACGCUCAGGUGCGAAAGCGUGGGGAGCAAACAGGGUUAGAUACCCUGGUAGUCCAGCGCUGUAAACGAUGUCGUUUUGGAGGUUGUGCCCUUGAGGCGUGGCUUCCGGAGCUAACGCGUUAAAUCGACCGCCUGGGGAGUACGGCCGCAAGGUUAAAACUCAAAUGAAUUGACGGGGUC